AUAAACACCCAAUAUAAACAUGAUUGUGCGAUUACAUUAAAGUAAACUCAAAAGGCAAAUAACACAAUUCAAGCUUCAAGUAAGAGUGACCUAGUUUAAUUCUAAGAAUCUAGCACUAAAUCCUUAAUGGUCCAAUUAAGAUAUCAUCAUCAUCUGCAUGGAAAGAAAGAGAGAAUCAUAUUGCUGUGAAACAGAGACGUUCUUUGCAACACACACCAACAACUUUCUGACUUGGGAGGGACAAUGGAAAGAAAGCAGAAUGCAAGAAGAAGAAACGAUGGUGUUUUUAUUUGGUGAUUAGUGUGAAUCAAUUAAUCCAAUUAAAGACUUCUGACUGUUUGUAUUCAGUGGUGGAAAAACUUGGGCAAAUAUUGGAGAGUGUGAAAGUUGUUUAAAUUAUUAUGAAGUUUUUGAGUCCCAAGUUAGAAUUAAAUUGAUUUUUACAUUUCCAAAACCAGGUAAAAUUGCAAAUGAAAAACGAUUUUAGGAUUUUACAAUUUAGCUCCCGAUCCCACUAGAUUUAGAUUCUACAACCGAUUUUGCUAGGAACACCCAUGCAAAAUCGUAAAAUCUUAAUGGCAAGAACAAUAUUUUCAAAGCUUUUCUAGAAAAAGCUCAUUUCUGAAAAUCACUUUUGAGGAAAAUCUCAACUUUUCAAACAACAUAUUAUAUAUCUACAAAAAGCAUGGCAUCAAGAAGCUUGUUAACAAUGGUGACUUAAGCAAAAGCCAUUUUCAAGAAUAACUUUUAGGAAAAUAACUCAACUUUUCUUCAAAAUAAAUACAUUAAUAGAAAGCCAUUUUCUAGGAAUAGUUAAGAUUUGUUAUUUUUAAUUAGUAUAUUAGUUUAUGUUAGUUAUGUUCUAUUAAAACUGUCUAGGGGUGGUUACUAAAAUUCCGAUUGUUAAAUAUGAGUUUUGACUGUUAGUUUACAUGGUUCAGAAGUUGUGUUUUAGGAGGAGAGGACUGGACUCUCGAAUUUCAGAACUAGGAGAGGCUGGCUCUCAAAUACCAGUGUUGUAACAUUAUUUCUAGGGAUAAAGGUGCAAACCGUCCUCGAACUUUAGGGGUCAUUUGGUUUUCGUCCCUACUUUCGUAAACUUUAAGAUCCCGUCCCUGAACUUAUGAAAAUGGGUAUUAUUCGUCCUCGCCGGAGCGGAGACCACGGUGGUCAACGCUGGGGGACCGGUUGUCGCAACCGGGGUCGCGGCGGGACGGCGCCAAAGAGAAAAUUAGUUCGAAAAACAGAGUCGCCACCAAUAUUAUUUUUUAAUGGGAAACAUUGGCAAACCCAAAAGAUAUGAUCUGCGAAACCAAAAAAUGGAUCCGGGAGUCGGUUACGCGUGGGGAAGGUAUUAGCACCUCACAGCGCCCGUUUAUAAAACGGUACCUCUAAUUAAUUGUGCAAAAUAUACUAGCUUUCAAAAUAAUUGUUUUACACCGAUAAAAAGAUAAAAGGAUUAUGUAAAAGAUCGGCCCGCCGAGUUUGUGAAAACUCGUGCCUACGUAUGCCCCCAAGUGCAAUGGGGAAAUCAGAGCCUCGUAGUUCGACCGACGAAACUGACUCGAUAUUUUGUUAUUUUUGUGCCUGACAGAUUGGAGUCCGCUCCUACGUAAUCUCUGUAGAGAGAUAUCAAUGCGUACGCAGUUCUUGUUUUUUAGUUUGAUUAAUUGGAAAAAAAAAAGUUGAUUUUACCUUGAAAAAUGUUUUUAUUAGGUUGCCUGACGGGAAUCUGUUCCCGGCCUACGUAGUCACUUUUGGAAAAAAGAGACAUCAAGGCAUACGCAGUUCUAAAAGAGCUUGAAGAAGCUCGGAAAAGCUUGAAGAAGCCGAGAUUUGAUUUUGAACAACUUGAGAAAAGUCAUUUGUGAUUCUUUUGAAAAGAGAGAUAUUUUUGAGGUUUUAUGCUUUGUGAUUUUUUGGGUUUUGAAAUAUUUGAAUGUUUUUGGAUUUUUGAAAUACUUGAUUGUUUUUGUAGAUAUUAAUGCUAAUUAAUUAAUUAGUUAAGAUAAACCUAACUAAUUAAAUAAUUAAUAUCAAUUUCUUUUCUUUGGGCUUGAUGGGCUUAGUAGCCCACAUUGUUUUUGGUUCAAAAAGCAAAAGGAUUUUGGUAUUAAAACAAAAAGAGUGCUGCAGAAAUCCAUUUAGAAAAGAAAGGCAAAGAAAGAAAGGAAUCUUCCAAAUAAAGUUGAGCCAAACACUCCCUUACCUCAACCUUGUUGCCGGCGUGAGAAAUGGUGCAGGGGAAGAAGAAUGGAAACGGUGGCGCGUGAUGCUCCCGGUGGUGGCGACCGCGAGUGAUGGCGGCAGCUCUGCGUGAGGCAGCGGUGGUGGGCGCGAUCCGGACGGCGGAAAC
rnacentral:lncRNA from 1 species